AGAGACACGAUCGUCAGGAAAAAAGAGAAUACCAAGAAGUCAAGACUUCUUACUCUCGCUGUUAGUUCAAAUAAAAAAGAAGAAGAGAGCUUCAAAACUUAUUUUAAGAAAUUAAAAUAAACACAAAUAGUCUCGUAGCUCAGCUGGUUAGAGUACUACACUGAUAAUGUAGGGGUCGGCAGUUCGAGUCUGCCCGGGACUACAAAAGCUUUCACUUCAAGAAUAAGGAAAUUUUAGAAGUUGAGUGAUUACACGUUUAAGUGAGCACGUUAUCAAACUGCAAACUGCUACUGGUAACUGCUUAGCUAUAAAACACGGGGGAUUAGCUCAGCUGGCUAGAGCGCCUGCCUUGCACGCAGGAGGUCAUCGGUUCGACUCCGAUAUUCUCCACCACGGCUAAAGCUGCUGAUUUAUUAAAAAUCAGUAACGACACGCCACAAGUUCAUUGACAUAUUGCGAUAAAUAAUAACAAAGUAGAAAAUACAAGAAAGUACAGAAGUAC
rnacentral:misc_RNA from 1 species